GAUGAACGCUAGCUACAGGCUUAACACAUGCAAGUCGAGGGGCAGCAUGGUCUUAGCUUGCUAAGGCCGAUGGCGACCGGCGCACGGGUGAGUAACACGUAUCCAACCUGCCGUCUACUCUUGGACAGCCUUCUGAAAGGAAGAUUAAUACAAGAUGGCAUCAUGAGUCCGCAUGUUCACAUGAUUAAAGGUAUUCCGGUAGACGAUGGGGAUGCGUUCCAUUAGAUAGUAGGCGGGGUAACGGCCCACCUAGUCUUCGAUGGAUAGGGGUUCUGAGAGGAAGGUCCCCCACAUUGGAACUGAGACACGGUCCAAACUCCUACGGGAGGCAGCAGUGAGGAAUAUUGGUCAAUGGGCGAGAGCCUGAACCAGCCAAGUAGCGUGAAGGACGACUGCCCUAUGGGUUGUAAACUUCUUUUAUAAAGGAAUAAAGGCGGGUAUGGAUACCCGUUUGCAUGUACUUGAUGAAUAAGGAUCGGCUAACUCCGUG
rnacentral:rRNA from 1 species